UACGUAGGUGACAAGCGUUGUCCGGAUUUACUGGGCGUAAAGAGCGCGCAGGCGGUCGUUCAAGUCGAGUGUGAAAGCCCCCGGCUCAACUGGGGAGGGUCACUCGAUACUGAUCGACUUGAAGGCAGGAGAGGGAAGCGGAAUUCCCGGUGUAGUGGUGAAAUGCGUAGAUAUCGGGAGGAACACCAGUGGCGAAGGCGGCUUCCUGGCCUGCUCUUGACGCUGAGGCGCGAAAGCUAGGGUAGCAAACGGGG
rnacentral:rRNA from 1 species